GUGUCAAAGAGGCAAGAGUGGAGGGCUGCGGGGGUGACAGGGUGUGGUCUGCCUGGAGCGGGCGACGCGGGAGAGCGGGGCAGAGGCCUGGGGCUGCGGAUGGUGCCGCGGCUUGCCGGGUGCGGUGACAGCGCGCAGCUGAGCGGAGGCGAGGGUGUCCCGGGCUCGCCAAGUGCCCAGCUCCAAGCUGUUCCAGCGCCCUCGCGGGCCGCGGGGCCGGACACCUGCGACUGAGGAGCGACUGACGCUCAGCCUUCCCGGUGCUGUAAGGACUGCAGACCAUCAGGAAUAAAAAGGACCUUGGAAACCAGAGGUCAUCCCAAGACAUCAACAAAGGAAAGGGCUGGAAUCAAAGGAGGGAAAGGCACAGCAUCCACCUGGAGGAUCUCCAACCUGAGCAGAUGCCAGUUGACAUGGGAACUCUGAGGAGAGCAAUUUAAGGAUUUUCACAUUUGCUUGCAGUGGUAAGAUUUAAAGAUAUAAUAACAAAGAGAAAAUGUUACUGGGUUCUGGUUUUUUGUAUAGAUGCAAAAUGAAAUCAUCUAGGUAAAUAUGCCUCUAUCUAUACCUUUUUCUGCUAAUUAUCUUAGCAAAACCAAAGAAAACAUAAGGGAAAUCCAUAAUUAAUGCUUAAACAUUGAACAUACCAUUGUUGGACUGGAUAAAAAUAGAGAAACUAAGUAAUACCUAUAUUUCCUUAUGCUGUACAGUUGGAGCAAGAAGGGGUCAUGGUUUUCACAUCUGAGGAUGGUGAGCUGUCUCUACUGAGAUGAGAUAUUAGUUGUCAGAACGCAAAGUGUGUGUCAGUGGGAGAGAAGAGGAAAUGGCUGUUUUAAGUUCUGUAGGGGGCGGUCACAGCCUUAGCAUGAGCCUUGAGAUUGGGUUGUGAGGGGAUGAAAUCUGUAGUUAAUUAACUGAUUACAUAACAAGAAGAAUGUCUGGCAAUCAUGGCCUGGCCUCCACACUGGACACUUGCUGCCAAUAGAGGCACAUCUGUGUGCCACAACUUCAAAACAAAGUUAUAAUGUUGAAGAUACCAACAGAUGAGUUCAAAUUGUGUUAUUGAAAGAUGGUUUUAAAAAUAGAAGCCUUCCACCCCUCUGUGUGCAUGUUUACAUGUAUGUGCACACACAUAUACAUAUACACUCUUAAAUCUGAUGCCAAAGAAUAAAUGCUGAAAGCAUCAGCUAGUAAAUAUUUACAUCUUUCACAGAAGGAAUCAUAGUGUCUGUAUACAUUCUAAUAGAAAGUAGGCAUUGCACCAGGGAGUGGUCACCCACUUCAAGUAUCAACACAUCAUCCUAGACAUUAGUGAAUUCCUGGGAAUUUGAGUUCUUGAAGUUAAUAGGUUAAAUUUGGAACUAAUACUCAUUCUUCUCCACUUCAAGCUGAGACUGAUCUCCAUAGUGUGAUACCUCAGCACAUCUGGUUCUCUGAAGAAUACUGUCUUGAAAUAGUUCAUGUAUUCUUCUGAGUCCUUUUUCAUGAGGCCUAAGUAUCAUGUCCAUGGUAUGUUGGCCAGACAAUGACUCUCUGCCAUCUCAUUGGAUAUCCUUAUAUAGAAGACAUAGCUUUGUAUCUGUGAAUCUGAAAAUGAUGAAUUUGGCAAUCAGUAUCCAUAUUUAGCUUUUAAAUAUGUUCCUCUCAAAUUGCCUGCUACUUUAUUCACGUAUAUUACUACAUUAAUUUUGGCUUUAGUGCUUGCAUUCUUAAAGACUGCUUGUGAACAAUCAAAGAACGAUGGUGCACAUGUUGGAAGCUAGCAAUGCAUUGUUUAAACUGAUACGAUACCAGCACUGGCAGCGCAGUGUCACAAAACUUCAUCUAUUUUUUUCCAUUUAUUUAUUUAUUCAUUCAUUUGUUCAUUUUUGUCUCUCUCUGUGUGUGCAUGUGGGUCCUUUUGAGACAGGGUAGGGGAGAACUUAUUCGAGUUAGUUCUUUCCUUUCAUCAUGUAGGCGCCAGCAGCAGAACUCAAGGGCCAUCAGGAUUGAUGGCAAGUAUCUUUACCCCUACGCUGUCUUGCCUGCUUCCAUUAUAGUCUUAUAUCUGAAUGUCAUGGUCCCCUUGAAAGUUAAAAAACAAUUGCCUUUCUAUUUCAUUUAAUAACUUAGCACUUCCUAAGAGGUAACACCAAACUUGUUUCUUCCACACAUGAGUCACGGUUUCCUUAUCUAGAUGUAAAAUUUAAGUAAACAUCUUAAUUGGAGUAUCAUUGAACUGCAGAUACUAUUUAGUAUAUUCAUGUACCAUCAAAAAUAUCUCCAUGGUAAAUGUAAAGUCUCACAUGAAGCUUCAUAGCUUCAGAAUGACUGUUCUAACUGAAUAGAAAUUCACUUGAGAUAGACAGCCUUUGGGUCUGGUUGAUUUUUGAUAAAUGUUGUUUUGUGUUCACAUGUUCUUUAUAAUAAAGUUUUAAUAAAACACACAAAUAUAAAAACAAACAAUAGCUCAGAUAACAGAAGAGCCAGAAGUUAAGCUGAAUAGGCCUUCUAGAAUCUGAAAGGACAAGGAAGGGCAAGUAAUAUAAUGAGGGAGGGCAGGCAGGAGCCAGAGAGCGAGAGUGAGAGGGUUACUGACCUUAAUGAAUCCAAAACCUCUAUGAAAAUGAUCUAUAACUGACCUGAGAAGCACACAGUCACCUGAGCUCUGGUUUUUGUUGUUGUUGUUCUUGUUGUUGUUAUGAAGAAAGAGAACCUAUCAAAGACAUUCCAAAUAUGAUGCUGAGGAUUUGCAUCAAGACACGGGGAGGUUUCCCUGAAUGUAGCCUAGUGUUUUUGUCUGGCUAGGGAACCAAGGACAGCACCAUCCUGUUCCCCAUCUGUAAUAGGAGGCCACUGUGGACAAGGCCUGCUUGUUUGAGAAAGGCUGUCUUGAUGCUGAGAUCUGGGAGGAACCUGACUUUGGAAUUCUCAGGCCUCCACCCAAAUCCUGAAACCUUGUCUGACUUAGCUGAAGAGAUACUUUACUUCUUGGCUUCUAGAUUUUAAAUAUCCCUUAAAUAAUGAGAUUUAGAUUUUAGUCUACAAAACUAUGUGAAGGGACUCUAGCCAGCCUAGGUGUGGCAAACAUGGCUCUGGCAGGCCUUGCCCUUCUCCCUCAUUUCCUCUGCCUCACUGAAAACCAUUAGACUGCAUUCCUAAAGCUGGCCACCAAGGUCUACUUCCUUAUUUGUCCACUUCCUCUUCUGGAGGCUGACUACCAAGGUCCAGCUAUC